rnacentral:rRNA from 1 species
AGUAACGGCGAGUGAACAGGGAAGAGCUCAAACUGAAAAUCGGCAGUUUACUGUCGAAUUGUAGUCUCACGAAGUGCAGCCUGUGUUUAUUCUGGGUUAAGUCUCUUGGAAAAGAGUACCAAAGAGGGUGAAAGUCCCGUCUUUGCCCAGAGAUAUUCACGUUCGGUGCAUUUUCAAAGAGUCGCGUUCCUUGUGAUUGGAGCGCUAAGUAGGUGAUAAAUUUCAUCUAAAGCUAAAUACUAACGAGAUUCCGAUAGCAUACAAGUACCGUGAGGGAAAGAUGAAAAGGACUUUGAAAAGAGAGUUAAAAGGAACUGAAAUUGCUGAAAGGGAAGCGGAGGGUCUCGACGGUCUAGCAAUUCUCUGUAUCUAACGCGGUCUUUCUCGAUCGUAUUUGGGUGCUAGAGUUCUGCGGUGACUCUGGAAGUGGUUUCUCUUGUUGAGUAAAGUGUUGAUGUGUUCCUUUGAGGUUCACUUCUUCACUGUUUUCAGCUUGAGUGAUCUCAACUCUAUUGUGACACUUUAGUGGUUGCAUUA